CUCAGGAUGAACGCUGGCGGCGUGCCUAAUACAUGCAAGUCGAGCGAACAGAUGAGAAGCUUGCUUCUCUGAUGUUAGCGGCGGACGGGUGAGUAACACGUGGGUAACCUACCUAUAAGACUGGGAUAACUCCGGGAAACCGGGGCUAAUACCGGAUAAUAUAUUGAACCGCAUGGUUCAAUGUUGAAAGACGGUUUCGGCUGUCACUUAUAGAUGGACCCGCGCCGUAUUAGCUAGUUGGUAAGGUAACGGCUUACCAAGGCAACGAUACGUAGCCGACCUGAGAGGGUGAUCGGCCACACUGGAACUGAGACACGGUCCAGACUCCUACGGGAGGCAGCAGUAGGGAAUCUUCCGCAAUGGGCGAAAGCCUGACGGAGCAACGCCGCGUGAGUGAUGAAGGUCUUAGGAUCGUAAAACUCUGUUGUUAGGGAAGAACAAAUUUGUUAGUAACUGAACAAGUCUUGACGGUACCUAACCAGAA
rnacentral:rRNA from 2 species